rnacentral:lncRNA from 1 species
AAUGAGCGAAUUAGGAUUGUUUAGGUGGUAGUAGCAAAUAUGCAGGGAAAUGGGAGACAUAUGGACACACACACUGAAACAUUUUACUGAAAUGUUGCGCUAGUUACCACAACAAAUGGCAAAGAGAAAAGCGCAAGGAUGAUCUUCGAAUAGAGUUGCUUCAGCGAUGUAUGUGAGUAGAGGAUCGCUAUUGUCGGAGAGGUAUCCUGUGAUAGCUUGUAGGGAAUCCUAAGAGCCGCAGGGCAGUCAUGUGCGUUGAGCAAACGGAAUUUAGUCAGCACGGAUGAGCCGCCUGAUGUGAAUCUUGAGUAUCGCAGUGGUUAUGAGUUGCUGGUGCGACUGGUUGCACUGAUUUUGUGCCUACUGGUUUCUUUGUUUUCUAUGCAUUACGGUGAUGCAAGAUUUUCAUAUUUCUCAUUGUCCAGUGUGGAAGCAUUCAGUCUAACUUGUCUCAUAAACCGAGUUGUUGCAAUCUGUCCAUCAAACAAAUUUUAGUUCCAAUGCUAUCGAGACCUCUUGUCUAAGAAACGAUGUUGACCUUGUUGGAAGUUGGAACUAGGCCCCCUUGAUCACAUCAAA